rnacentral:rRNA from 1 species
AUACGGAGGGUCCAAACGUUGCUCGGAAUCAUUGGGCGUAAAGCGCACGUAGGCGGCGGGGUAUGUCGGGUGUGAAAGCCCUCGGCUUAACCGAGGAAGUGCAUCCGAAACUGCCUGGCUUGAGUAUGGGAGAGGGUAGCGGAAUUCCCGGUGUAGAGGUGAAAUUCGUAGAUAUCGGGAGGAACACCAGUGGCGAAGGCGGCUACCUGGACCAAUACUGACGCUGAGGUGCGAAAGCGUGGGGAGCAAACAGGAUUAGAAACCCCGGUAGUCC